GAUGAAGAACAUAGCGAAAUGCGAUAAGUAAUGUGAAUUGCAGAAUUCAGUGAAUCAUCGAAUCUUUGAACGCACAUUGCGCCCGCCAGUAUUCUGGCGGGCAUGCCUGUUCGAGCGUCAUUACAACCCUCAGGCCCCCGGGCCUGGCGUUGGGGAUCGGCGGAAGCCCCCUGCGGGCACAACGCCGUCCCCCAAAUACAGUGGCGGUCCCGCCGCAGCUUCCAUUGCGUAGUAGCUAACACCUCGCAACUGGAGAGCGGCGCGGCCACGCCGUAAAACACCCAACUUCUGAAUGUUGACCUCGAAUCAGGUAGGAAUACCCGCUGAACUUAAGCAUAUCAAUAAGCGGAGGA
rnacentral:misc_RNA from 1 species